GACGAACGCUGGCGGCGUGCUUAACACAUGCAAGUCGAGCGGUAAGGCCCUUUCGGGGGUACACGAGCGGCGAACGGGUGAGUAACACGUGGGUGACCUGCCCUCAGCUCUGGGAUAAGCCUGGGAAACUGGGUCUAAUACUGGAUAUGACUCCACGGUGCAUGUCGUGGGGUGGAAAGCCUUGUGCGGCUGAGGAUGGGCCCGCGG
rnacentral:rRNA from 1 species